rnacentral:rRNA from 1 species
AAAUUGAAGAGUUUCGAUCAUGGCUCAGAUUGAACGCUGGCGGCAGGCCUAACACAUGCAAGUCGAACGGUAACAGAAGCAGCUUGCCGUUUGCUGACGAGUGGCGGACGGGUGAGUAAUGUCUGGGAAACUUCGCCUGAUGGAGGGGAUAACUACUGGAAACGGUGGGUCAAUACCGCAUAACAAGACCAAAGAGGGGGGACCUUCGGGCCCUUUGCGUUAAUGAUGCCCAGAUGGAUUAGCUUGUUGGUGAGGUAACGGCUCACCAAGGCGACGAUCCCUUUAGCUGGUCUGGAGAGGACACCGUCAUUACCCGGAACUGAGACACGGUCCAGACCCCGCCGGAGGCAGCAGGGAAUAUUGCACAAUGGGCGCAGUUUUCCGAUGCAGCCAUGCCGCGUGUAUGAAGAAGGCCUUCGUUGUAAAGUACUUUUCAGCGGGAGAGUGUUGUGGUUACUAACCGCAGCAAUUGACGUUACCCGGCAGAAGAAGCACCGCCAACUCCGUGCCAGCAGCCGCGUAAUACGGAGGGCGUGCGUUAAUCGGAAUUACUGGGCGUAAAGCGCAUCGCAGGCGGUCUGUCAAGUCGGGAUGUGAACCCCGGCUCAACCUGGGAACUGCAUUCGAAACUGCGCGGCUUGGAGUCUUGGUAGAGGGGGGCAGGAAUCUGUGUAGCGGUGAAAUGCGUAGAGAUCUGGAGGAAUACCGGUGGCGAAGGCGGCCCCGGACAAAGACUGACGCUCAGGUGCGAAAGCGUGGGGAGCAAAUGAUUAGAUACCCCUCGGGUAGUCCACGCCGUAAACGAUGUCUACUUCUGGAGGUUGUUCUUGAGGCGUGGCUUCCGAGCUAACGCGUUAAGCAGACCGCCCGGGGAGUACGGCCGCAAGGUUAAAACUCAAAUACCUGACGGGGCCCGCACAGCGGUGGAGCAUGGUUUAAUUCGAUGCAACGCGAAGAACCUUACCGUCUUGACAUCCACGGAAGUUUUCAGAGAUGAGAAUGCUCGGGAACCGUGAGACAGGUGCUGCAUGGCUGUCGUCAGCUCGUGUGUUGUGAAAUGUUGGGUUAAGUCCCGGCAACGAGCGCAACCCUUAUCCUUUGUUGCCAGCGGUUAGGCCGUAAACUCCAAAGGAGACCGCCAAAGUGAUAAACUGAGGAAGGUGGGGAUGACGUCAAGUCAUCAUGGCCCUACGACCAAAGUGGCCACACGUGCUACAAUGGCGCGCUGCCAAAGAGAAGCGACCUCGCGAGAGCAAGCGGACCUCAUAAAGUGCGUCGUAGUCCGGAUUGAGUUCGCAACCUCGACUCAUGAAGUCGGAAUCGUUAGCACCGUGAUCAGAAUGCCACGGUGAAUACGCGUUCCCGCCCUUGUACACACCGCGCCCGUCACACCAUGGGAGGUUGCAAAAGAAGUAGGUAGCUUAACCUUCGGGAGGGCGCUUACCACUUUCGUGAUUCAUGACUGGGGUGAAGUCAAAACGCGGUAACUGUAACCGGUUGAUCACCUACCUU